UACAGAGGUCUCAAGCGUUGUUCGGAUUCAUUUGGGCGUAAAGGGUGCGUAGGCGGCGCGGUAAGUCGGGUGUGAAAUCUCGGAGCUUAACUCCGAAACUGCAUUCGAUACUGCCGUGCUUGAGGACUGGAGAGGAGACUGGAAUUUACGGUGUAGCGGUGAAAUGCGUAGAUAUCGUAAGGAAGACCAGUGGCGAAGGCGG
rnacentral:rRNA from 1 species